rnacentral:misc_RNA from 1 species
GGGCAGUGGCUUCAUGGAGAAGCAGUUGCUGCUGGAACGGUCAUGGCUGUUGACAUGUCACGCCGUCUUGGUUGGAUUGAUGACUCACUGGUACAGCGGGUGCAGAAGAUCUUACAACAGGCAAAGCUGCCGACUUCACCUCCUGAAACUAUGACUGUGGAGAUGUUCAAGUCUAUCAUGGCUGUUGAUAAAAAAGUGGCAGAUGGGAAACUAAGACUUAUCCUUCUAAAAGGUUCACUUGGUAACUGUGUUUUUACCGGUGAUUAUGACCAGAAGGCCCUCGAUGAAACACUCCGUGCAUUUUCCAAAUCUUAAGCAAUUGGAGUUGUUACAUAGAAGCAAUUGUUCGACAAAAAUACAAGUUUUAUGAUCUGCUAAAACCAUUAGUCCAAUUCUGAAAAGGUUGGUCAAGGUUGUAGGCAGCUCUGUUAGCGCUUGGAGGUAUGCUUAUGCCCUCUGUGAAAUACAAGAUGCCUUUUUGCUAGUUCUUACCCUUUGGUUAGUGUAAUAUUUCUUGAGCUUUCAAAUAUUUGUAUACAGCAUUUCUGUGUGUAUUUUUCCGCUGUCAAAUCUUCUUUAUACUUGUAGCCUAACAGUGGAGCCCCAUCAUCUGCUAAUAAUAUUCAUAAUGGA